rnacentral:rRNA from 1 species
UACGUAGGGGGCUAGCGUUGUCCGGAAUCAUUGGGCGUAAAGAGCGUGUAGGCGGUCCGGUAAGUCCGCUGUGAAAGUCGAGGGCUCAACCCUCGAAUGCCGGUGGAUACUGUCGGGCUAGAGUCCGGAAGAGGCGAGUGGAAUUCCUGGUGUAGCGGUGGAAUGCGCAGAUAUCAGGAGGAACACCGAUGGCGAAGGCAGCUCGCUGGGACGGUACUGACGCUGAGGCGCGAAAGCGUGGGGAGCAAACAGG